AGUGCCAUAAUUUCUGUGAGUUGGUGCCACAAUGGGUAAGGCCAGGGCAAUGUGAAUGUGCUAUCCAUGGUUCUUGAUGACAGCUAGAUUGCAUAAUCAAACAUCUAUAUUACACUAAGGAUGCAUCAUUCUUAUUCAUAGUGUACUUUUUUCUUUUUUAAUUUUUAUUUUCUUGAUUUUUGGGAAGAUUAUGCUUUUAUUAUUUUUUUCCAUUUUAGAAAUUACUUUUCUUUUUUUACUUUCUGUGUGUGUGUGUUUGGGGGGGUGGUGUGAUAAAGCUUAGAUGGCAUGAAGAUGGAGGCCAGAGUGGGUUUUCUUUUCUCCUAUCAUGUGGGCUCUCCAGGCUUGAAAGUAAGUAUCCUUAUUCAUGGAGCUAUCUCUCCAGUCUGAUAUUUAUUAUUCUUCACUACAUACCAGAGCCUCCAGGUUCCUGCCUUGACUUCCUGCAAGAGUGACUGACCUCAGUGAUGAACUGUUACCUGAAGUACCUUUUAGAAAGACACAAUCCAAUUUUGUGAAGAUGUGAGGACAUCUCUGAGAGGAAUUGCUUCUAAGACUCAGGGACCAUUCCAGGAGAGGGAGUAGAAGGGAGUAAGGGUAGCAUGUUUGGAAAUAGAGCUGCUAGAUGAUACCAUUUGGACCUGACAGUGUCUGCCCUCCUCCCACCCCCACAAGCCUCACAGCCAGAGGAGAGACCAUCUGUACCAGGUGGAUUGAAACUCCAGUAAGUACCAUCUUUGUAGGCAUUGGGUCAAGA
rnacentral:lncRNA from 1 species